rnacentral:rRNA from 1 species
UGCUUAACACAUGCAAGUCGAGCGGAAAGGCCUUUCGGGGUACUCGAGCGGCGAACGGGUGAGUAACACGUGAGUAAUCUGCCCUUGGCUUUGGGAUAACUACCGGAAACGGUGGCUAAUACCGGAUAUGACCAUGCUCGGCAUCGGGUGUGGUGGAAAGUUUUUUCGGCCAGGGAUGUGCUCGCGGCCUAUCAGCUUGUUGGUGGGGUAAUGGCCUACCAAGGCUUCGACGGUAGCCGGCCUGAGAGGGUGACCGGCCACACUGGGACUGAGACACGGCCCAGACUCCUACGGGAGGCAGCAGUGGGGAAUAUUGGACAAUGGGCGGAAGCCUGAUCCAGCAACGCCGCGUGAGGGAUGACGGCCUUCGGGUUGUAAACCUCUUUCAGUACCGACGAAGCGCCGAUGAUGGUGGUGACGGUAGGUACAGAAGAAGCACCGGCCAACUACGUG